UGGGGAAUAUUGCACAAUGGUCGCAAGCCUGAUGCAGCCAUGCUGCGUGUGUGAUGAAGGCCUUCGGGUUGUAAAUCAUUUUCAGCGGGGAUGCAGGCGGUGAGGGUAAUAACCCCACCGAUUGACGUUACCCGCAGAAGAAGCACCGGCUAACUCCGUGCCAGCAGCCGCGGUAAUACGGAGGGUGCAAGCGUUAAUCGGAAUUACUGGGCGUAAAGCGCACGCAGGCGGUCUGUCAAGUCGGAUGUGAAAUUCCCGGGCUCAAACUGGGAACUGCAUUCGAAACUGGCAGGCUAGAGUCUUGUAGAGGGGGGUAGAAUUCCAGGUGUAGCGGUGAAAUGCGUAGAGUUCUGGAGGAAUACCGGUGGCGAAGGCGGCCCCCUGGACAAAGACUGACGCACAGGUGCGAAAGCGUGGGGAGCAAACAGG
rnacentral:rRNA from 1 species